rnacentral:rRNA from 1 species
AUACGGAGGGUGCAAGCGUUGUCCGGAUUUAUUGGGUUUAAAGGGUGCGUAGGUGGUUUUUUAAGUCAGUGGUGAAAGCCUACAGCUUAACUGUAGAGGUGCCAUUGAUACUGGGGAACUUGAGUAUGGACGAGGUAGGCGGAAUUUGUGGUGUAGCGGUGAAAUGCAUAGAUACCACAAGGAACACCGAUAGCGAAGGCAGCUUACUGGGCCAUAACUGACACUGAGGCACGAAAGCGUGGGGAGCGAACAGGAUUAGAAACCCCUGUAGUCC